rnacentral:rRNA from 1 species
UACGUAGGGGGCAAGCGUUGUCCGGAAUCAUUGGGCGUAAAGAGCGCGUAGGCGGCCCUGUAAGUCCGCUGUGAAAGUCCAGGGCUCAACCCUGGAAUGCCGGUGGAUACUGUCGGGCUAGAGUCCGGAAGGGGCGAGUGGAAUUCCUGGUGUAGCGGUGAAAUGCGCAGAUAUCAGGAGGAACACCAAUGGCGAAGGCAGCUCGCUGGGACGUGACUGACGCUGAGACGCGAAAGCGUGGGGAGCAAACAGG